CAGCGGCAGACGGAUGAGUAACGGGUGGGAACGUACCUUUUGGUUCGGAACAACACAGGGAAACUUGUGCUAAUACCGGAUAAGCCCUUACGGGGAAAGAUUUAUCGCCGAAAGAUCGGCCCGCGUCUGAUUAGCUAGUUGGUGAGGUAAUGGCUCACCAAGGCGACGAUCAGUAGCUGGUCUGAGAGGAUGAUCAGCCACAUUGGGACUGAGACACGGCCCAAACUCCUACGGGAGGCAGCAGUGGGGAAUAUUGGACAAUGGGGGCAACCCUGAUCCAGCCAUGCCGCGUGAGUGAUGAAGGCCCUAGGGUUGUAAAGCUCUUUUGUGCGGGAAGAUAAUGACGGUACCGCAAGAAUAAGCCCCGGCUAACUUCGUGCCAGCAGCCGCGGUAAUACGAAGGGGGCUAGCGUUGCUCGGAAUCACUGGGCGUAAAGGGUGCGUAGGCGGGUCUUUAAGUCAGGGGUGAAAUCCUGGAGCUCAAACUCCAGAACUGCCUUUGAUACUGAAGAUCUUGAGUCCGGGAGAGGGUGAGUGGAACUGCGAGUGUAGAGGGUGAAAUUUCGUAGAUAUUCCGCAAGAAACACCAGUGGCGAAGGCGGCUCACUGGCCCCGGGUACUGACGCUGAGGCACGAAAAGCGGUGGGG
rnacentral:rRNA from 1 species